rnacentral:rRNA from 1 species
CCUACGGGCGGCAGCAGUGGGGAAUAUUGGACAAUGGGGGCAACCCUGAUCCAGCCAUGCCGCGUGUGUGAAGAAGGCCCUCGGGUUGUAAAGCACUUUCAGUGAGGAAGAACGCCUGGUGGUUAAUACCCAUCAGGAAAGACAUCACUCACAGAAGAAGCACCGGCCAACUCCGUGCCAGCAGCCGCGGUAAUACGGAGGGUGCGAGCGUUAAUCGGAAUUACUGGGCGUAAAGCGCGCGUAGGUGGCUUGAUAAGCCGGUUGUGAAAGCCCCGGGCUCAACCUGGGAACGGCAUCCGGAACUGUCAAGCUAGAGUGCAGGAGAGGAAGGUAGAAUUCCCGGUGUAGCGGUGAAAUGCGUAGAGAUCGGGAGGAAUACCAGUGGCGAAGGCGGCCUUCUGGACUGACACUGACACUGAGGUGCGAAAGCGUGGGUAGCAAACAGGAUUAGAUACCCCAGUAGUC